CACCAGCAAUGAGUCCGCACUUCUACGUAGUGCUGGUGACUAGUAACACUUUGUGGUGAAGCUACGACGGAC
rnacentral:ribozyme from 1 species